rnacentral:rRNA from 1 species
GAUGAACGCUGGCGGCGUGCCUAAUACAUGCAAGUCGAGCGAACAGACGAGGAGCUUGCUCCUCUGACGUUAGCGGCAGACGGGUGAGUAACACGUGGAUAACCUACCUAUAAGGCUGGGAUAACUUCGGGAAACCGGAGCUAAUACCGGAUAAUAUAUUGAACCGCAUGGUUCAAUAGUGAAAGACGGUUUUGCUGUCACUUAUAGAUGGAUCCGCGCCGCAUUAGCUAGUUGGUAAGGUAACGGCUUACCAAGGCAACGAUGCGUAGCCGACCUGAGAGGGUGAUCGGCCACACUGGAACUGAGACACGGUCCAGACUCCUACGGGAGGCAGAAGUAGGGAAUCGUCCGCGAUGGGCGGAAGCCUGACGGAGCAGCGCCGCGUGAGUGAUGAAGGUCUUCGGAUCGUAAAACUCUGUUAUUAGGGAAGAACAAAUGUGUAAGUAACUAUGCACGUCUUGACGGUACCUAAUCAGAAAGCCACGGCUAACUACGUG